AGUGAACGCUGGCGGUAGGCCUAACACAUGCAAGUCGAACGGCAGCACAGUAAGAGCUUGCUCUUACGGGUGGCGAGUGGCGGACGUGUGAGGAAUACAUCGGAAUCUACUUUUUCGUGGGGGAUAACGUAGGGAAACUUACGCUAAUACCGCAUACGACCUACGGGUGAAAGCAGGGGAUCUUCGGACCUUGCGCGAUUGAAUGAGCCGAUGUCGGAUUAGCUAGUUGGCGGGGUAAAGGCCCACCAAGGCGACGAUCCGUAGCUGGUCUGAGAGGAUGAUCAGCCACACUGGAACUGAGACACGGUCCAGACUCCUACGGGAGGCAGCAGUGGGGAAUAUUGGACAAUGGGCGCAAGCCUGAUCCAGACAUACCGCGUGGGUGAAGAAGGCCUUCGGGUUGUAAAGCCCUUUUGUUGGGAAAGAAAAGCAGCAGGUUAAUACCCCGCUGUUCUGACGGUACCCAAAGAAUAAGCACCGGCUAACUUCGUG
rnacentral:rRNA from 1 species